rnacentral:rRNA from 1 species
GCGAACGGGUGAGUAACACGUGGGAAACCUACCUCUUAGCAGGGGAUAACAUUUGGAAACAAAUGCUAAUACCGUAUAACAAUUAAAACCGCAUGGUUUGAUUUAAAAGAUGGUUCUGCUAUCACUAAGAGAUGGUCCCCGCGGUGCAUUAGUUAGUUGGUGAGGUAAUGGCUCACCAAGACGAUGAUGCAUAGCCGAGUUGAGAGACUGAUCGGCCACAAUGGGACUGAGACACGGCCCAU